rnacentral:lncRNA from 1 species
GAGAGGAAGGGAAAAGAAUGGAUGGGAAAGGGAGAGAAGGAAAAGUGGAGAAGGGAGGAGAUGGGGAAAGAAAGUAGGGAAAGGAAAAAAGAACGAAAAAUAAAGGAAAAGAAAGAAAAAUAAAGGAAAAGAAAGAAAAGAAAGGAAAAAAAUAAAAGAAAGAAAGGAAAAUUAAAAAAAAAGAGAAAGAAAAAGAAAGAAAAGAAAAAGAAAGAAAAGAAAGAAAAAGAAAAUAAAGAAAAGAAAGAAAGACAAAGGAUGGGAAAGGGAGAGAAAGAAAAGAAAAGUAAGGAAAGAGAGGUAAAAAAAGAAAGAAAAAAAGAAAGAAAAAAAAGAAUGGAAAAUUAUGGAAGAGGAAAGAAAAAAGAAAAAAGGGAGGAAAAAGGAAGGAAAAAAGGAAGAAAAAGGAAGGAAAAGGAAAUGAAAAAAAGAAAACAAGAGUAAAAAAAAAGAAAGGAAAAAACAGAAAGGAAAAGAAUAGAAAGAAAUGAAAAGAAAGGAAAGAGACAAGAAAGGAAAGGGACAAGAAAGGAAAGAGAAAAGGAAAGAGAAGAGAAGAGAAGAGAAGAGAAGAGAAGAGAAGAGAAGAGAAGAGAAGAGAAGAGAAGAGAAGAGAAGAGAAGAGAAGAGAAGAGAAGAGAAGAGAAGAGAAGAGAAGAGAAGAAAAAAGAAAAGAAAGGAAAAGAAAAGAAAGGAAAGGAAAGGAAAGGAAAAGAAAAGAAAAGAAAAGAAAAGAAAAGAAAAGAAAAGAAAAGAAAAGAAAAGAAAAGAAAAAAGAAAAGAAAAGAAAAGAAAAGAAAAGAAAAGAAAAGAAAAGAAAAGAAAAGAAAAGAAAAGAAAAGAAAAGAAAAGAAAAGAAAAGAAAAGAAAAGAAAAGAAAAGAAAAGAAAAGAAAAGAAAAGAAAAGAAAAGAAAAGAAAAGAAAAGAAACAUUUCACAGAUAUAUUUCAGAGAGUCAUUCUCUACUGGAGAACUUAGAUCUUGGUCUUUUUUGCACAAAUAGCAAAAUAAUUUCUUUUUAUUGUGGUUGUCUGAAAAGUCAGCCUGCCAUUGCGGCAACGCCCCCAAGAGUUUAAUCAGGUCCUGCCAUUUCAGGAAUGCUUAUGCAUAUAACCAGAUGUUAUGGACCAGAUUUUAUUUUUCCUUACAGCAGCUGAAUGUCGGCAGUCUCUGGUGGUCUGUUGUCAUUAGUUACUACUUGUACGGCGGUCGUACCCAGAGGCCCCAAAUAAAUCACAGCCCCUUUGUGCGAGGCUUCA